rnacentral:rRNA from 1 species
AACGAACGCUGGCGGCAGGCUUAACACAUGCAAGUCGAACGCCCCGCAAGGGGAGUGGCAGACGGGUGAGUAACGCGUGGGAAUCUACCUAGUUCUACGGAACAACAGAGGGAAACUUCUGCUAAUACCGUAUACGCCCUAUGGGGGAAAGAUUUAUCGGAAUUAGAUGAGCCCGCGUAAGAUUAGCUAGUUGGUGAGGUAAUGGCUCACCAAGGCGACGAUCUUUAGCUGGUCUGAGAGGAUGAUCAGCCACACUGGGACUGAGACACGGCCCAGGCUCCUACGGGAGGCAGCAGUGGGGAAUAUUGGACAAGGGGCGCAAGCCUGAUCCAGCCAUGCCGCGUGAGUGAUGAAGGCCUUAGGGUUGUAAAGCUCUUUCAGUAGGGAAGAUAAUGGCGGUACCUACAGAAGAAGCCCCGGCUAACUUCGUGCCAGCCGCCGCAGUAAAAC